CAUUUUGUCGUAUUCUCCUCCUGUUCCUUUAUCAAUACAAUCGGUAACAGAAUCUACGGUUUGGUCAGCAUAAAUAAAACCCUUGGAUUUUGGACUUAUCAAUGUGAUAAAUUUAAUCUUAUCUCGCUUGCCACGUGGAACCUCGAAAUUGUCACGAAUUUAAGAAAGGAAAUUUCCAAAUCGUUUUUCCGCAAUGUCGCCUUAUUUUGUUUUUUACUAGGCACGAUUUGUUUCUCGGAUUUAUUUUUUGUCACAAUUUUCAAAUUUUCAAAACCCACCGUCAUUUCGGAAACGUUCCGCAAAAAUCCUGUUUCUCUCGCAAUCGGAGGAUUUUUUUGGAUUUAUUUCAACUUUUUUCAUUGUUGUCUCUGCAUCUGGUUAAGCGUGUUUAUCAAGCUGUAUACCGCUGGUGUCCAUGCAAUUAGGGGACAAGUAGAAUGUAAUGUGUUAACAGUGCAAAAAAUUUCGCAAAUUUCCAAGUCGUAUGACGUCCUUAUUUCCUUGGUGGACCAUUACAAUGACCAAGUUGGACUCAGGAUAUUCUUGGAUGUGGCGUACAACCUAAUUUAUGUCUUGUGAAAUUCGAAACUUCCGGGAUAAAGUGACCACUUGCAAGUUGAGGAUCACUCCGAAAAAUUUCUUUGUACUUGGGAAAGGUUUUAUUCUUUCGACAUUGUCCAUCUUAAUGACGCUCUUAAUCGUCCUGGCCCAGUUUAGGGACUCAGACGUAGCAGGUGGAGUACGAAGCUAACUAUGUGAUUACAUAGUCUGAUUAUAGCUCGCUAAUUAUCUUAAAAAUAAGUCAAUUCAACUAUUUGAGUAUUCUACUUGUAUCGAUCUGCAUAUGUCAAUGAGUUACAUAUGUAAAAAUGUGUAUAUUUAUUCAGAAAUUUUGAAACCACUACUUUUUCAAUUUCAUAUCAAACUUAUCACUCUAAUUUUAUUGAAUCUUAAAAAGAAAUCGUUAUUUGGAAUUAAAGGAAGGUUGUUAAUUCAGCUGCGUGUCAUGCGGGGUUGACCUGGCACUGCAAAAUUAGUGCAAAUCAUCUCGAUUGUCAUAAAGGGAAUCUUGGAUAUCUAUACGCUGCUGUAUGUACAUAAGUGCCUCCACAUGCACUUAUCCUUAGGUAUGUAAGUACAUGUACCUGCACAGAUACGUACAUAUCUAUACCAGAGACUCGAUCGAGUCAAGGCGCAUUAUGAGAAUUUUGUCAUUACAUGACGCAAAUCAUGACCUCUCGACUGUAAUUGUCAUCAAGAUAUAGAUAUAUAAAGAAUUAUGUAACUAUGUAUGUAUCCAGAAAAAAUCUAUUCGUGUCACUAUUUGUCUGCUAAAGGUCUAGAGUCGACAAGGGUUAGGACUGUACCCAGUAACAUCAGUUAAUUAAUAUGUAAUUCUGUUGAAUUUAACUUGCAUGACACAUAUGUAUCGGUAUACCCAAUUUGGAUUAAUCAAUUUCAUGCAGCCAUUUAUAACAAUUCAAAGUAUUUUAGUCUUAGAAGCUUAGCUAGAAGUGGGGACAUAGGUAAGUAUGUACUAAGACCAGAAUAUCGAGUAUAUAUGUAUGUAGGUUAGCCCUGAACUUAUGUACUACAUACCUAUUUACAUAAGAUGCAAAUAUGUAUAGUACAUGAUCAUAGAAUAUUUUGACGUUAUAAUUAGUUAUUCAUGCUAUUUACUGUUUUCUCGGAGCUAACAUGCCCUAGAUUCAACCUGUGGAAAAUGUCCAUCUCCAACAAUGUAUUCACAAACAUCUCUUGUUUAUCUAAGCAGAGUCAAUACAGAUUUAUCAUAAUAUCUGAAAUAUGCAUGUACUUUAUUUCAGUGACAUCAAUUCCAAAAUUAUGUAUAUAUUAUCGGAUUAGCUAAA